UAAUCAGUGGGAAAAGAAGACCCUGUUCAGCUUCACUUUAAAUUGACUUUGUGAGGACACUUAAUCGGUGUAGCAUAAGUGAGAGAUCGGUUCGUCCGAUCAUUAGUGAAAUGGUACUGUUUUGUAUAGCUCUUUUACUAAUUCGAUGAAGUCGACAGAGUCAUUAAAUAGUCGUGCUACAUAUUUGCUAAUUGUUAUUUACUGUCUAUCUUGAAGAGAGUGUCAGACUGGGAGUUUGAUUGAUGCGGUACAUCUGUGAAAAUUUAACGAAGGUGUCCCAAGAAGAGCUUAGUGAGACCAAAACCUCACGAAGAAUAAAAGGGCGAAACCUCCGUUGAUUUUGCUUUUUGGUACGAAUAGAGACCUUGAGAGCUAAGUCUGUCGAUCCUUUUGAGUUCGUUGACUUCACAUAAGAGGUUUCAGGAAAGUUACUACAGGGAUAGCUGGCUCGUGGCAGCCAAACGUCAUUAUUUGAUCCUUCGAUGUCGGCACUUACCAUUGCGAAGCAGAGUUCCCAAACUGCUGGACUGUUCAACCCACUAACAGGGAAUGACAGCUGGGUUUAGACCGUCGUGAAACAGGUUGUUUUUAUCCUAUCGAUGA
rnacentral:ncRNA from 1 species